CUCGUAGGCGGUUCAGUAAGUCGGCUGUGAAAUUCCGAGGCUCAACCUCGGAACUGCAGUCGAUACUAUUGUGACUAGAGUCCGGUAGAGGAGAAUGGAAUUCCCGGUGUAGCGGUGAAAUGCGCAGAUAUCGGGAGGAACACCAGUAGCGAAGGCGGUUCUCUGGGCCGGUACUGACGCUGAGGAGCGAAAGCGUGGGAGCAAACA
rnacentral:rRNA from 1 species